GACGAACGCUGGCGGCGUGCCUAAUACAUGCAAGUCGAACGAACGGAUUGAGGAGCUUGCUCUUCAUGAAGUUAGUGGCGGACGGGUGAGUAACACGUGGGUAACCUGCCCUUCAGUGGGGGAUAACAUCCGGAAACGGGUGCUAAUACCGCAUAGUUUCUUUUUCCGCCUGGAAGAAGAAGGAAAGAUGGCCUUUGCGCUAUCACUGAGGGAUGGACCCGCGGCGUAUUAGUUAGUUGGUGGGGUAAUGGCCUACCAAGUCGACGAUCGGUAGCCGGACUGAGAGGUUGAACGGCCACAUUGGAACUGAGAUACGGUCCAG
rnacentral:rRNA from 1 species